UGUAAAUUCAAAUUGGCCAGGUAUUCUAAGAACGACUUUCCUCGACGGCGUCUGUUUUAAUAAUUUGCCCAUUGUCUUGACUUAUUCAAGACCAGAUUGUUUAGGCAGAAAGCCUUGGGUUGACAGGGAAGUAUUUGGGAGAAAUGUUCGGAGCCAUUUGACAAUCAACUGCUUUAUACUAGCUGAUUCACUGCCUGUGUCUCAACGAACGUCUCGCUGGGCUAACCUUAAGUUGUUCAACGUUUGAAACCGCAAGUGAUGCAAACGCGGUUAGAUGAUAAAUUGUCAGCCUGAACUAGACUUAUUUUACUCUCUCUGCAAAGAUCAGCAAGGCAUACGUCGAAGUUUUCCCUUGUACUUCUUUGGAAAAGGUUUAUUAUUAUAGCUGACAAAGACAAAGUAUCGGUAUAUUACAUGUAAACUUUUAUCAAAUCCCGUUGGAAGUACAGUUAAUAUUGCUAACCUUCGCUCAUCCUUCAACGUUAAUUUAAAUUGAAAGUUUCAAAUACAUUCAGUUACUUCUUCGAAGAGAUAAACAAAGUCAUGGUUUUAUACGCCACUGAUUGCAUGCCAGCUUUAAAAUUACAUUGCGAAAUGUCGUACGAGUUAAAUAUUUGCACGAUAUUAACUCAUGGGGCACUUCUGACCAAUGGGAAUUUUGCGUACGGAGCGUACGCAUAAAUCGACUUUUUACUAAUAAAGGUCGCAGGCCGUUCCUCCCAUGCAGCCUCUGCCUGACAACGGCCUGCGAGCAGGCUAG